GGAGAUGUGGCAGAGUGGUAAUUGCGUUCUGCAACUCCCGGCAGGAACAGCCAUGUGUGAGUGACACGGGAGCACACACGGCGCACGGAGGUUCGAAUCCUCCCAUCUCCA
rnacentral:tRNA from 1 species